GACGAACGCUGGCGGCGUGCCUAAUACAUGCAAGUAGAACGAGAUGCGAACGGGUGGGUAACGCGUGGUACCCUGCCUCAUAGCGGGGGAUAACUAUUGGAAACGAUUGCUAAUACCGCAUACUGUGCGAUGGACCUGCGUUGUAUUAGCUAGUAGGUGGGGUAACGGCUCACCUAGGCGCCGAUCCCUAGCUGGUCUGAGAGGCUGAUCAGCCACACUGGAACUGAGACAGGGUCCAGACUCCUGCGGUAGGGCGCAGUGGGGAAUGUGGCACAAGUGGCGCAAAUCUUACGCAGCCAGGCGGCGUGUAUGAAGAAGGCCUUCGGGUUGGAAAGUCCGUUCAGCGGGGAGGCGUUACCCGCAGAAGAAGCACCGGCUAACUCCGUGCCAGCAGCCGCGGUAAUUC
rnacentral:rRNA from 1 species